rnacentral:rRNA from 1 species
UACAGAGGUCCCAAGCGUUGUUCGGAUUCAUUGGGCGUAAAGGGUGCGUAGGCGGCGCGGUAAGUCGGGUGUGAAAUCUCGGGGCUUAACUCCGAAACUGCAUUCGAUACUGCCGUGCUUGAGGACUGGAGAGGAGACUGGAAUUUACGGUGUAGCGGUGAAAUGCGUAGAUAUCAGGAGGAACACCGGUGGCGAAGGCGGCUCUCUGGACGGUGACUGACGCUGAGACGCGAAAGCGUGGGGAGCAAACAGG